UUAUGAUAUUGGUGUUGUUAUUGUUUAUAUCAUUACUACUACUACUACUGCUACUAUACAUUUUUCAUUAUCUAUUUAUUGUUUUUACAGGUAGUGGACAGGUUUUCAUUCGAUGACCUGAGGCGACACUGUGAUUACCUGCAUGACCUUAUUGACCUCCACGACCAGGCCUUUUCCUUCCUGCUGGGGGUUCGGUCGGCGAGGUUCCUCAUCAAGUAUCUUCUCUAUUCAUACCUUUUCGUGCUGGCCACGAAGACUCCAUUCAUCCUCGCUCCGUUGUGUUACUCAGUUGUGGACGAGACGAUAAGAUUUUACUUGCUCUGUUACCUCGCCCAUGGCCUGAAGAGAAAGCAUCAUGCCUUGGAGGAUGCUGUUUGGGCUUACCGGCAUCACCCACACACCAAACCUUCCCAAACCGAUGACUUGGACACUCUCAUCCACCGCCUGGCUAAUCAUCCCGCCCAGGUGACCCUCUGUACAGGUGUGCUCGACCAGGCUACCUUCUUAAACUGUGUUAAUAUUGCCUUUACCUACACGGCUCUUCUCUUCCAGUACCGGCCAAUGAUGAGCAAGAGUUUGUUGCCUGUUAAUGGGACCGAGUGGGAGAAUAAAAACUUUUGGUGGUUUGAUGAAUAGGUAAUGUGAGGCAGUGGUGGUGGUAUUUGUGAUGGUAUUAGUAGUAUUGUUGUUG